UCAAGAUAUCCUGAUUUGCACAGAAAAAUUUUCAGUGUAAAUGAAACACUU
rnacentral:tRNA from 1 species